rnacentral:lncRNA from 1 species
CAGCAAGCCCUUCUCAACAACCCAUCUUCACAAAUGCUCCAUGAGGCAGUCAUUCCCCGCACUAGGGACUCCCGGCUGGCUCCAUGUGAUGCCUGGGGAAGCACAUAGAAGAUGAGCUGGAUCUCUCUCAGAUGGAAUCCUGCCCACCCGGUGACUUGGCGAGCAUUCCAGUGCCAGGAACGACGGACAGCCACAUUACAUGACGUGUGAAAAACAUCCUCUACCAAAAGAUGUCAGCCGACCACCUCACAUGAGGCUGGCAGGAUUUGGGGCAGCUCCUUGCUUCCCAGCCCUGGAGAACCCACUCCAUGCCUCAUGAGUGUGAACAUGGGGGAACGAUGGCACGUGGCCACACCCCAAGCCCCGUCUCUGUUUGGCACCCACAUUCUUUCUGCCUAAUGCUGCAGCGGCAGACACCUGCCCUCCCCACAUUUUUCUGACAAGUAGCUGAGCCACUGCAGUCGUGGGCAUGCAGAAAUCACCUGCUGCUAAUGAAUUUCUGCUGUACCUGUUUUCCCUUGACCCUGAAAUGAUUCCAAAUUCUCUGUCAACUUAUUCACAAUUAAAAUAAUACGAAAAAGCAGCAGUUCCAUCUCUUAAAGAACCUGAAUAUUAAGCAGCAAUCUGAG